GACGAACGCUGGCGGCGUGCCUAAUACAUGCAAGUCGAACGCAGUGGGCACCUGUGAGUAACACGUGGGUCACCUCCCAUCUGAGGGGAUAACACUUGGCAACAGGUUCUAUACCGAUCCUGAUGGAUGGCCCCGCGGUGCAUUAGCUAGUUGGUGCAGUAACGGCCCACCAAGGCCACGAUGCAUCCCAGGCCUGGGAGGGGGAUAGGCAACACUGGGACGUAUACACGGCCGAGACUCCUACGGGAGGCAGCAGUAGGAGAUCGUCGGAAAUGGACGAAAGCCUGACCGAGCAACGCCGCGUGAGUGAAGAAGGGUGUCGGUGCGUAAAACUCUGUUGGAAGAGAAGCGGUAUCUAACCAGAAAGCCACGGCUAACUACGUGCCAGCAGCCGCGGUAAUAC
rnacentral:rRNA from 1 species